CCUGGUGACUAUAGCGCGGGGGCCACACCUCUUCCCAUUCCGAACAGAGAAGUUAAGCCCCGCAGCGCCGAUGGUACUGGCCUUCGGCCGGUAGAGUAGGUCGUUGCCAGGA
rnacentral:rRNA from 1 species